rnacentral:rRNA from 1 species
GACGAACGCUGGCGGCGUGCUUAACACAUGCAAGUCGAACGGAAAGGCCCUGCUUUUGUGGGGUGCUCGAGUGGCGAACGGGUGAGUAACACGUGAGUAACCUGCCCUUGACUUUGGGAUAACUUCAGGAAACUGGGGCUAAUACCGGAUAGGAGCUCCUGCUGCAUGGUGGGGGUUGGAAAGUUUCGGCGGUUGGGGAUGGACUCGCGGCUUAUCAGCUUGUUGGUGGGGUAGUGGCUUACCAAGGCUUUGACGGGUAGCCGGCCUGAGAGGGUGACCGGCCACAUUGGGACUGAGAUACGGCCCAGACUCCUACGGGGGGCAGCAGUGGGGAAUAUUGCACAAUGGGCGGAAGCCUGAUGCAGCAACGCCGCGUGCGGGAUGACGGCCUUCGGGUUGUAAACCGCUUUCGCCUGUGACGAAGCGUGAGUGACGGUAAUGGGUAAAGAAGCACCGGCUAACUACGUGCCAGCAGCCGCGGUGAUACGUAGGGUGCGAGCGUUGUCCGGAUUUAUUGGGCGUAAAGGGCUCGUAGGUGGUUGAUCGCGUCGGAAGUGUAAUCUUGGGGCUUAACCCUGAGCGUGCUUUCGAUACGGGUUGACUUGAGGAAGGUAGGGGAGAAUGGAAUUCCUGGUGGAGCGGUGGAAUGCGCAGAUAUCAGGAGGAACACCAGUGGCGAAGGCGGUUCUCUGGGCCUUUCCUGACGCUGAGGAGCGAAAGCGUGGGGAGCGAACAGGCUUAGAUACCCUGGUAGUCCACGCUGUAAACGGUGGGUACUAGGUGUGGGGUCCAUUCCACGGGUUCCGUGCCGUAGCUAACGCUUUAAGUACCCCGCCUGGGGAGUACGGCCGCAAGGCUAAAACUCAAAGGAAUUGGCGGGGCCCCGCACAAGCGGCGGAGCAUGCGGAUUAAUUCGAUGCAACGCGUAGAACCUUACCUGGGUUUGACAUGGAUCGGGAGUGCUCAGAGAUGGGUGUGCCUCUUUUGGGGUCGGUUCACAGGUGGUGCAUGCCUGUCGUCAGCUCGUGUCGUGAGAUGUUGGGUUAAGUCCCGCAACGAGCGCAACCCUUGUUCACUGUUGCCAGCACGUUAUGGUGGGGACUCAGUGGAGACCGCCGGGGUCAACUCGGAGGAAGGUGGGGAUGACGUCAAGUCCUCAUGCCCCUUAUGUCCAGGGCUUCACGCAUGCUACAAUGGCUGGUACAGAGAGUGGCGAGCCUGUGAGGGUGAGCGAAUCUCGGAAAGCCGGUCUCAGUUCGGAUUGGGGUCUGCAACUCGACCUCAUGAAGUCGGAGUCGCUAGUAAUCGCAGAUCAGCAACGCUGCGGUGAAUACGUUCCCGGG